AUGGACAUCAUCGGGGGGGGGGAGGAUACCAUGGCGGGGGAGGUCAGCAAGAGGAGGAGGAGGAGGGUACACAUGGCCACUGCCCGAGAUGGUUGCGCGGCAUCGCUUCCGUACGAGAUGAUCAUAGAGGUGCUGCAGUGGCUCCCCAUCAAAUCUGUCUUCCGCUUCCGGGCAGUUUGCCACAGCUGGGCUGCGCUGCUAUCUUCUGACGAAUUCCGCCGCCUCCACAUGGCAGCAGCUAAGGCUGCUCGGCGGCCGGCACCACCAGCCAAGUUGAUAUACAUCUCACCUACCGCCACAUUCGAUUCCACCACAGUCUACUCGUGUUCCUUCUCGCGGUCAUCAUCAUCAGGCUGCCCCAGAGAUCGCGGGGACUUACUGUUCACCAUCGACGGUGCCCGUGGCAACUGCGUGGAAGUAGUAAUGCCAGCACCAUGCCAUGGCCUCACCCUUAUCUAUGAUGCUCUCGAGACGGCCUAA
rnacentral:rRNA from 1 species